AUGUGUGUUUAUUGUCAGAAUAUGGCCAGGGCAGAUAUUGAGAUGGACAUUCAGAGACACGAGGACUCGGCGGGAGGAAGACACGGUGAUGAAGGGCCGCUCAUCAAGUACUACAGGGCCAGUGAAGUUCUGCCGGGCCCCGUGCCGGCUCUGCAGGGGCUCCUCAGGAAGGGACCAGCCACCUGCGCGGCCAUUCAGUCAUCCAGUGGGAUCCUGAGUUUUGGGAUCGGGGUUGUGUUUGCAGUGUCGUUCGGGAUCGGUGAUUAUUUACUGACUUUAUUCCGAGUUCCCAUCAUUACUGGAAUAAUGUUUGUCAUUGCUGGAAUCUUGUCUAAUCUUCUGUACAAACAUCCCAAUCUUCUACAGACUUGUUUCAUUGCUAACAUCGGGUGUCUGGCCGUGUCUGGGAUCGGAGUGAUUCUCCUGAUUGUUGACCUUCAACCAGGUGGAAAUAUGAUCCAGGACAAGAUGGAGGUCCUGGUGCUGUGUGUGACUCUGAUGGACAUGCUCAUCGCUGCGGUGCUCAUAUACUGGUUUUACAGAGAGAAGCGUGACCAUAAACAGUGACGACGUGAUCAAGCAGGAGGGAUGUGUUCGCAGUUCUCAGCUCAGCUUUUCUCACAAGCAACAAGAAUAGAAUUAAAGAACUAAAGAGAGGAAAGCAGAAGUAUCUUCAGUGAGUAAGAGCAGAUUCUCUUCCUGUGUGAUGCUGAAAACGCUCAAGAUCCGCACCGGGAAUCGCCAAAAUAAAAUACUGACUGAAGAGAGAUGACGUGCUAAACAUGGAAGAUUUGGCUUGCAUAAUAAAAUGAUUUAUUAUUUUUUGUUUAUUGUAUAGCGUUAAGCGGUAUUAUUUUUGUUUUUUUUUAUACUGAUUAAUGUAAUUCAAAGGGACUUAUUUCUGUAUGUUACUUAUGCAUUUGAGUUGGGAACCAUUUAAAUAAACCACAAAUUCAAUUUGAUUUUAUUUACUCUUUUAUUUUUAUUUUCAUUGCAAAAAGUCUGACUCAAUCCUUAAUAAAAAUGCAGUCCUGUCUGGAUUUUAUUAGUAGUGCCUGAACUCAAAUCAUUCAGCUAUUUGUACAAUCAGAAACACUGAGUCAGAUGUCGAGUGGUGAAGUCUCUGAAGUCUCCGAAUGAAAGAAGUAAAAGUAGAAGAGCUGAAAUCAUGUACAUCUGUGACCUCUGUCCUGUAACGUACCAGCACUGCUGAGGAGCUUUUAUUCUGCACUGCAGUCAGAAUUCAUAUCCAUCAGUGAGGCUCUGGAUGAUUAUCAGUGUAUGAAAUGAUGAAAUGUCUCAGUGCAUUUGAUCUCCGUUUGUCAGAACACGUCCACAACCAAACGCUGCUUUCCUGUCACUCCGUCUCGAUGGAUUCACAGCUGCAUUGAAAAACAAAAGAGAAGUUAUGUGAAACGCUGAUGUGCAGGUCACUGCUAAUAAUUAGAUGUUUAUUAAGAGUUCACAUUGACAGUGAUCAUGAGUACCGCUGGUUGCAUGAUAUAUCAAAAUAAAACUGAUUUUGAAUAAGGAUUAAUGCAACAGUCAAAUUGUGUCCAUUUACAUUUAUGCAUUUAGCAAUUUACAAAAGAGGAACCAAAGCCGACAAUAAUCCUAAUAUACAAUGCUAAAUUACUGUAUUAUCGUAUUAUUUUUAUUACUCAUUUUUUAUUUUAAAAUAAUAGCAUUAUUGCAAUAGGUUUCUUAUUUUAAUAUUGUUGAUUGAUUUAUUUUUUCAACAUUUUUUUUUUCUUUUUAACUUUUUAUUUUCUUCUUAAAGUUAUUUUUAUUCUCUAAGCAGAUGCACUCACAAACUAAUUUGCCUCUCUCAUUCUAGAAUUAUUAAUUCUUCUCCAAAUAUACAGUAGCUAUUUAAAUCACUAUUGCAGAAAAACUCAAAUUCCUGUAUUUUUUCAUGUUGCAAACACUGUAGAAAAGCAAAAGUUCCUGUAUUUUUUCAUAUCGCAAAUAAUACAGAAAACAAAAAGUUCCUGUAUUUUUUUUUAUUCGCAAAUAUUGCAGAAAAGCAAAAAAUCCUGUAUUUUCAUAUAGCAAAUAUAGUAGAAAAAAGAAAAUCCUGUAUUCUUCAUAUCGCAAAUAUAGAAGAAAAUCAACAAUCCUGUAUUUUUCAUAUUGCAGAUACUGCAGAAAAACUAUAAAUCCUGUAUUUUCAUAUCGCAAAUAUAGUAGAAAAACAAAAAUCCUGUAUUCUUCAUAUCGCAAAUAUAGUAGAAAAACGAAAAUCCUGUAUUCUUCAUAUCGCAAAUAUAGUAGAAAAACAAAAAUCCUGUAUUUUUCAUGUCAAAAAAAUACAGAAAAACAAAAAUGCCUGUAUUUUUUCAUUUCGCAAAUAUUGCAGAAAAACUAAAAAUUCCUGUAUUUUUUCAUAUCAUAAAUCCUGCAGAAAAACUAUAACUCCUCUAUUCAUCAUAUCAUAAAUAUUGCAGAAAUACAAAAAAUCCUGUAUUUUUCAUAUUGCAGAUACUGCAGAAAAACUAAAAAUCCUGUAUUUUUCAUGUCAAAAAAAAUACAGAAAAACAAAAAUGCCUGUAUUUUUUCAUUUUGCAAAUAUUGCAGAAAAACUAAAAAUUCCUGUAUUUUUUCAUAUCGCAAAUACUGCAGAAAAGCAAAAGUUCCUCUAUUUUUUCAUAUCAUAAAUACUGCAGAAAAACUAUAAAUCCUGUAUUUUCAUAUCGCAAAUAUAGUAGAAAAACAAAAAUCCUGUAUUUUUCAUACCACAAAUGUUGCAGAAAAACAAAAAUUCCUGUAUGUUUCCAUAUCGCAAUGGCAGUUUUUUUUUUUUUUUACAAUAUUGUGCAACCUUCGUUUGUGCUCAUUGACAGUUUCCAACUGUAAUUUAAAGACGUCUGAUGCAUCUUCAAAAAUCGCUCGCACAUCGUCGGCUGAGACUGCAAAUUUAUGACUUCCUUUAGUUUUGACGCUGUGAAUCGCUGUCAGUGUGAACGCAUCUUUGCAGAGCAUCGCACAGCUUAUUCAAUCUACAUAAAUAAUUUCUCUCCAUGAUUUCACAGCAUUUAUGCAACUGUUUAUCAGCAUUUCAACUUGUUUAUCUCAAAAGUUUUUGUCAAAACUUGACACAAAUAAGACUCGACACACAGGAUCUUCAACAUGCAUUGCAGUGCACGUGAUUCGCGGGGAACGGAUGGUUAUUUUCAACAUAAUGUGCAUGCAUCGCAUGUGUGACACAUGACAAUGAUGACAACUCAUUCCUCAGUGAGCAUCAGUAAUGCAAAACCAUUGCUUCAGCCUCAAAAGGACGAUAUUGCAGCUUACGCAACAGACAUUUUUAUUGAUAAACUAAAACAACUAAAAAAACAGCUUUACUAUAAAACAUGAACUGCAUGUAAAUGCAUGUAGAUUUUCACUGUAAAUGCAUUACAGUGAACACGUUUCAACACAUUCAGACUCACUGAGGAUGAUGUUACUGUCAAAUUAAGCUCAGAAUAACCCUGAAUAUUGAAGCACCAGGAGGACCCUUGAAGCCCAACACACACAUGCAGCGCGACACAGAAACAUUCAGACGAGUCUCAGUCUCAAGCGUUAUCAGGAAACACACAGUUACUUACUGAUCUGAAGCGUUUGAUUCAGACCAGAGUCGAGAGGCCUAACAGACCUGAAGUCUUGCUCUGGUAAAACAAACACGUCAGACGAAACUAACGUUAGAUAAACUACAAGAGCACGGAACGGUGCAGAACCAGUUACACGUCUAAACACUUUGCUUAAAACACUGAGCAUGAGCGACAGUAAUAGUGAUGCGUAACACAAAAUAUUAUAAAUAUAUAUGCAAUUAUGUAUCUGAAUUGCAUAUAAAAUGUCCAUGCAUUUGGAUUACACAGUUUUAAUAUAAACUUAACAUUAUUGAAUAAAUGAGCAAAUAAAUAAAAUCAUGGCGUAGAUCAUUAUCAACUAUUUGCAUCUAUUUAAUUUUAAUCAUUUUUUAAAAAAUAUGUAAAUUAUUAAUACAUUAAUACAUUAUUAUUAAAUAAUAUUAAACUCUGAAUAAUAAACAAUAUAAUAAUAACAAGCAAAAUUUAAUUAACAUAAAGAUAUAAUUAAAAAUAAACUAAAGAAUAAAAUGAAAGAAUACAUUUUUUUAAAUAGCAAGUCCAUAUUAUAUUUAUUUAUUCCCUCCUUCCUUCCUUCCUUUAUUUAUUUCCUUAUUACUCAUUCAUUCAUUCCUUCAUUUUUGACUUCUGCAGGUUUGGUCCUUCACAUAAACCUGUUCAUUAUGUAAACAACUAAAUUUAUAAAAAUAAAAAGCAUGCACAUGGUCAAAAAAUAAAUAAAUAUGUGGAGCAAGUGAUAUUCAAUUAGCUAAAAUGUUUAAGAUUCAAAUAAAUUGGAUUUAUUGACUGAUAAAUAUAUAAAGGUCAAGAUCAAGGAAAUAUUUACUGUCAACAACCGUCAUAAUCCUUUAAUCCUACAUCAUAAAAACAAUCCCUUUUAAAUACUAAUUCUUCACUAAAGGCCUAAACAGUUAGUUUUCUGAUCUGUGACAGCGGUGAGCGUGUGGUUGCUCAGUGUUCGGUGUGAGACUCUCACCGCUGUGAUGAACUUGCUGCUCUGAUUCUGCAGCUCCUGCUCUUUGUGGAAGAGGACGGAGGACGUGACGUUAGGAGGAGACGGGGACGGCGUGGACAGAUGCGAGCCGUAGCUCUCCAUCAGUAACGCAGGAUGAUGCUGGACGCUCACGCGGUCACUGGAGCUGUCAGCGCCGUCACUCACUGCAGACGCACAACACAACACUUCACUCUCUUACUCAGCAAUGCAGAACAACUAUAUAUAUACACACAUACACGGAUAUUAAUUAUAUAUAUAUUUUGUAUUUAUUUAUUAAAUGUAUUUGUUU
ensembl:lncRNA